rnacentral:rRNA from 1 species
CCCUUAGAUGUUCUGGGCUGCACGCGCGCUACACUGAUGCACUCAACGAGUUUACGACCUUGCCCGAUAGGGUUGGGUAAUCUUUUUAAAAUGCAUCGUGAUGGGGAUAGAUUAUUGCAAUUAUUAAUCUUCAACGAGGAAUUCCUAGUAAGCGCGAGUCAUCAGCUCGUGCUGAUUACGUCCCUGCCCUUUGUACUCACCGCCCGUCGCUCCUACCGAUUGAGUGCUCAGGUGAAUAAUUCGGACUGCAGCAAUGUUUGGAUCCCGAACGUUGCAGCGGAAAGUUUAGUGAACCUUAUCACUUAGAGGAAGGAGAAGUCGUAACA